GCCGGACGCGCCCCCCGCGUGUAACGUACCAAUAAUCAGCCCUUGAGAAAACGUUCAAGUAUAUAAAUAUCGGACGCGGCUCCGCAACGUCCACUCCGCAUCUGGAAGAUC